AAUAAAUGUGGAUACAGGCUGAAUAUAAUAAAAUCAGUAAUUGGCAGAAGAUUGGCACUAAUUGAUAAAGCCAUGAUCGGCAGAAUGAUAUUUUCUGCACUGUAAUAAUUCUGACAGGAUUGGUUUAAGGAAGAAUGGGGCUGAUUAGGGACCAAUGAGAGAAAUACCACAUGGAGAUAAGAAGCACAACUGAGGUAAUUGCAUCUAUAUUUGUCAAGGAAGAUGAUGUUGCCCAGUGCUGGCAAAAUAGGCAGUAGUUCAAAUGCAUUUGAAAGUUUUGAAUAUAAAUUUGUCAAGGAUUCUUUUUAAAAAUGAGUAUGUAAUACCUUACUUUCCUUGUGUUACACUGUUUGAACUGGUGGGCAGUUUGCAUCUUGUGUUUUCUACCACCUCUGGAUGACCUCUGACCUCUCUCCAGGACCUCCUCACAGCAAUGAGAUAAGGUUGGAGGCCAUUCAGAAAUGGAGAAUCGAUUAUAAGACAUAAGAACUCAGAAGGAUUUGACUAUAACGAUGAUGGGAGCUAUGAAUGCAAAUCUGGAGAGGUGUUUGGAAGCCAGCAUCGAUUUCCUCUGCAGUUUUUCUGGGAUUUUAAGAUAAAUUUGCUUGGAGAGAAAGAUGACACUCCCAUUCAUUUCUGUGAUAAAUGUGGAUUGCCAAUUAAGAUAUAUGGACGCAUGGUGAGUGACAUCCUCUGAAUAU